rnacentral:rRNA from 1 species
GACGAACGCUGGCGGCGUGCCUAAUACAUGCAAGUUGAGCGCUGAAGGUUGGUACUUGUACCAACUGGAUGAGCAGCGAACGGGUGAGUAACGCGUGGGGAAUCUGCCUUUGAGCGGGGGACAACAUUGGGAAACGAAUGCUAAUACCGCAUAAAAACUUUAAACACAAGUUUUAAGUUUGAAAGAUGCAAUUGCAUCACUCAAAGAUGAUCCCGCGUUGUAUUAGCUUGUUGGUGAGGUAAAGGCUCACCAAGGCGAUGAUACAUAGCCGACCUGAGAGGGUGAUCGGCCACAUUGGGACUGAGACACGGCCCAAACUCCUACGGGAGGCAGCAGUAGGGAAUCUUCGGCAAUGGACGAAAGUCUGACCGAGCAACGCCGCGUGAGUGAAGAAGGUUUUCGGAUCGUAAAACUCUGUUGGUAGAGAAGAACGUUGGUGAGAGUGGAAAGCUCAUCAAGUGACGGUAACUACACAGAAAGAGACGGCUAACUACGUG